rnacentral:rRNA from 1 species
AGAUAAAGAAAUUUUUGGGUUUGUACCUUUUGUAUCAGGGGAGUUUAAAAGGCGCAGUAAUUCAAUAAUCGAUUUUAGCUGAGUCUUUUAUCAUGUCUACAAUGGGAACUGUAUACAGAACUUAAGGUAAGAGGUGAUAUAUCUUCGACGCUGAUGGUAGCUAGUUGUUUUCUACCAAAGGGGUUAAGCUCUUUGAGUAUUUAAGUAGGGUUGGAAUAAGGGAAAACUAGGCUUUAUAUUAGCUAAGUUGCUAAAUUGUUUUAAGUAAUUUUUUUUUUUUUAGUGACCAUAAGCUAAAUUUAAGGGACCACACUUCGGCGUAAAAGGGGGCGUAGAUAAUUAAUUUAUUAAAUAACGAGAGGGGCCAUAAAAUAACUCGAGAGUUACUAGAUAGUUUAUCAAAAACAUUUUCGUCGGACAACACGGAGAUAAGGUCUGCCCAGUGAGUGUUAAACGGCUGCGGUAUCUUGACUGUGCUAAGGUAGCAUAAUCACUUGUUUUUUAAUUGGAGGCUGGAAUGAAGGGUUUAACUAGUUAGGUUUGUUUGUGAGGCCGGACAGUAUAUUAAAGUCGAGGUAACAAUUCUGCGAUCUGCCAGGGGACGAUAAGACCCUAGAAGCUUAAUAAAGUUAGGCUGAUUUAGUGAUAAAAGCAAGGUUUAUUUUGCUGGGGCGGCAGUGUUAAAUAAACUAGCACAAUUUUGAGGGGUCCUUAAAAUAAAGAUAGGGCGCGUAAGUUACUCUAGGGAUAACAGUGUGAUAUUUUUGGAGAGACCUUAUCGAUAAUAGUGAUUACAACCUCGAUGUUGAAUUAAGAUACCUGUGUGAAGCAGAGAAUACAGCAGGAGGUUUGUUCAACC